rnacentral:piRNA from 1 species
UGAUAAUUUGUCUGGUUAGCAGCGUGUUGU